rnacentral:misc_RNA from 1 species
GUAUUUUGAAUUAUUUUAUUCAUAAUAUUUUUCAGACAAAGAGUUAAAAAAUUAGGUUGAUGGUUGGCCGAUCUCCAUAAAGAAGAUCGACUGACAUUGCACACAAGGUGGAUAUGGAUUUUUAAAGAGUGCCAUAAAACACUCAUUGUGAAUGAUCCUUCCGCAGGUUCACCUACGGAAA